rnacentral:rRNA from 1 species
GACGAACGCUGGCGGCGUGCUUAACACAUGCAAGUCGAACGGUGAAGCGCUUUCCUUUUCGUUGGUGUGGAUGAGUGGCGAACGGGUGAGUAACACGUGAGUAACCUGCCCCCUUCUUCUGGAUAACCGCAUGAAAGUGUGGCUAAUACGGGAUAUUCUGCGCCUGCUGCAUGGUGGGUGUGGGAAAGAUUGUGCCUUUGGGUGUUUUCGGUGGGGGAUGGGCUCGCGGCCUAUCAGCUUGUUGGUGGGGUGAUGGCCUACCAAGGCGGUGACGGGUAGCCGGCCUGAGAGGGUGGACGGUCACACUGGGACUGAGACACGGCCCAGACUCCUACGGGAGGCAGCAGUGGGGAAUAUUGCACAAUGGGCGCAAGCCUGAUGCAGCGACGCCGCGUGAGGGAUGGAGGCCUUCGGGUUGUGAACCUCUUUCGCCAGUGAAGCAGGCCUGCUCCUUGUGGGUGGGUUGACGGUAGCUGGAUAAGAAGCGCCGGCUAACUACGUG